UGUACACACCGCCCGUCACACCAUGGGAGCGGGUUCUGCCAGAAGUAGUUAGCCUAACCGUAAGGAGGGCGAUUACCACGGCAGGGUUCGUGACUGGGGUGAAGUCGUAACAAGGUAGCCGUAUCGGAAGGUGCGGCUGGAUCACCUCCUUUCUGGAAAUAUGCAGUCAAAUUCUUACGCCCAUUCUUAUCGGCUGUUGUGUUAAACAACAGCAAUGUCACCGAGUUAAUUCAAGUUAAUUAGCAUUAAUUGGUGCCGCCUUCGAGUUUAUUAAUGAGAGUUAAUUAAUGAGAGGGUCUGUAGCUCAGCUGGUUAGAGCAUCGUCUUGAUAAGGCGGGGGUCGUUGGUUCGAGUCCAACCAGACCCACCAAUUGGGCUUAGGUGGAGAGCGAGAAGCGAAAAAGAAAUCCCGGGGGAUUAGCUCAGCUGGGAGAGCACCUGCUUUGCAAGCAGGGGGUCGACGGUUCGAUCCCGUCAUCCUCCACCAAAAUAUUCAGCAGAUUGAUUAAUUCAGUUUGUUGAAAAACUUAUCAGAAGCAAAUUAAAUUAAUGCAAAGCAUGUUCGCGACAAGUCGCGAGGAUGCUUUGUAUUGAUUGAUUCAUUUCAAUUAUUGGCUGUUCUUUAAAAAUUUAUAGAGUUAAAUUAGCGUCGUUAGCGGAAACUGCACAUUCGUAAAGGUUUAGUGCAGACCGUGCCGCUAGCGACAUAGUAGUAAAUAAUUUUUUGAUUGCGUCAAAAGAAACUUUUAAUUUCGAUAGUAAUUUAUUGAAUAAUUGGAAGAUACGGCAUAACGCGUGUGGUGUAAGACCACACAAUCAUUCCUUGAAGAUAGCUUAUGAGAAAUCAAAGUUAUAGGGUCAAGCGAAUAAGAGCAUAUGGUGGAUGCCUAGGCAAUGAUAGGCGACGAAAGACGUGAUAGCCUGCGAUAAGCUUCGGGGAGCUGGCAAAUUAGCUUUGAUCCGGAGAUUUCUGAAUGGGGAAACCCACCCUUCGGGGUAACGCUGACUGAAUACAUAGGUCUGCGUGGCGAACCGGGUGAACUGAAACAUCUCAGUAGCUCGAGGAAAAGACAUCAACCGAGAUUCCGAGAGUAGUGGCGAGCGAAA
rnacentral:misc_RNA from 1 species